AAGCGCUUGCAGCCAGACUUGCCCGCAGUUGCUCAUCCGGACUCUUGCCCGGAGCACUCUUCUGCGGACAGGCCAGCAUCAGUUCGGGUGGCUGGAUAAAGGCCUCUGUCAUGUAUCUCCCUUCGGGGUGACCUUAUAGGGGAGGUGUAAUGCAGUCAACCCGGACUGAGGUCCGCGCUUUUGCUAGGAUGCUGGCGUAAUGGCUGAAAGCGG
rnacentral:rRNA from 1 species